AUUGGGGCACGGAUUCGAACUUGUGACUCCCUUGUACUAAAAUUUCUGCUGCGUAUCUUGAAAAUGAUUUUUUGGCGCCUAGAUCUUGCUAGGGUUGCAAAUGGGGCAAGGCCAUGGCGGCAUCGCGCUCUCAGGCCGGGAGUACAAUUUCAGAUUCAAGAUGCACAGGCUCACUGCAGAUCCUUGGAAGAGCACGGCCGUGGCUCCAAAAAACAAUCUGGGAACUUCGUGCUGCCACUGAAACAUGCGUGGAGUCGAUCGCCAACAGGUACCGAUGUCUGGCAGAAAAAAAUGUUUUUGGGACUAAACUUGUACACCUCUGGAACAUUUAUUUCUCCAAAAACACACUUCUUCACUUAUUCGUGGGGCAUUUAUCCAUCUGAGACAUCUUGAGCUCAGCUGAAUGCUAUGAUCGACUUUGAGGCUCUUGGCAUGUCGUUUUCCCGUGCCAUUUUGUUGAGAUCAAAAACGAGAUGGGACGAGCUGAAUUCCCCACGUUAAGUCCGGGCAGCUUUGGAUAUUGUUUUGGACGGCCUUCGCAGGGUUGAGCGAUUCACAAUCACAGCCGUAAAAAACUCUCGCGUGGAAGCAAGGCUCUAUGGAAUCCAACCUGGAGCAGUUCCUUUCAUUUAAGAGCCACGGCUUGAGUCCACCCAGGCUUUGAGCAACGUAUCCAAACGUGGAACCGGGGCUCGUAACCAGCUCGUCACACAACGAGAGCAGGAAAAUCUCGGCCAGGGCCUUCUCGUCGUGCUUGAGGUCGUUAGUCUGCUGCCAUCGCUCGUUACUCGGUGCAAAAACUCGGAUCAAAGAACCAUCGAUUGUUGGAGAGUUGAGAUAAACUUCUUUAAGAUCAUCGGAGUAAUCUUCGUCCAGCGAUGUCACAACAACACCUAUUAUAUCUCUGGAGGAUCCACAAGCUCUACAAUCUCUUGGCGACGUCGAGUGUGGCGGUACUACUUUGGGAAGCACAUUGCUUUGGUGGAGACACUGGAUCAUUGCGGCUGAGAACCUCUCUCUUGCAUGGAAUCCACCCAAGCUAUAUUCGAGAUCAGGCAGCAUUCUUAGUUGGACGCCGACAAGCUUGCUCGAGCCAGCCAUAUAAGCAUCGUAAAAUCUCGUCACUCUACCCCAGACUUCGUCAGAGGGAUGGAAGAGAUGCUUCGCUAAGUGGUGGAACACCGCCUCUUGCCGUGGAAAGAGCUUGUCUAGCUCGGUUCUGAAUUUUGGAACGUAGUACAAGCUUGGGACAAAAUACAGAAGAAUUUGUCGCCGAUAUCAGCGACUCCGUCCAUUAUCUCGAUGUAACCGUACCUUGCAAACGUAGCACCGGCUUCGCAUUUAUCAAACUUGAGCUUAAACUUGUCACUCUCGACAAACUGGAAUGGAAAGUCCCGGGGAGCAAACCAUGAACUCCGAGGAAAUGGCUCGCAGAAGAGCUCGUCCAUGUCUUUCCCUGGGUCAAUUAACAAAACUCGACGGGUGAGCAAGGCGUAGAGGAAAGCCGCAGCAAUCGACACCAUCUUGUUCCCGAGGCCACUAUAGUUCAGCCAAAGGAUGAACUUGCAAUCGCUGUUCUUCGCGGCUGUGGAGUUGAACCAAGUCUGGAGAUAACCUCUGGUGCAGCGAGCAUGGAACUCGUCGUAAGAACGAAGCCUGGCGAUGAGGUACUCAGAUGGUGGUGGACUAUGAGAAGUUCUGAUGGAAUCACCUUCUUUUCUUCCACUGAUCAGAUUGAAGCUGCUCCGCUUGUUCCAGGUGAUCAAAGCUUUAUUCCUCCCUUCCUGGAACCAAACUGCGGCAGAGUAGAAUAAUAUAAAGACGAAGACAAGUGCUCCUGAGGCUCUCCUCAGCGUCGACAUGUAAAGAGUUUCCAUGAAGACCACUUGUGACUUGCAUCACGAACUCGGCAUUUUGCGUCGAGCAGUUUUCCACUUUGCCAAAAGCUCUGCUGGCACAACCUCUCCGGCUGAGUUGGCCGCCACCGCGCGAAUAUUUCAUGGUAUUUUGCAAUUUCGAAUUGCUGUUUUUUUGUCGCUGCCAUUUGUC